rnacentral:rRNA from 1 species
GCGGUUCGCCGCCGGCAACGUUGCAAGAAGUCCACUGAACCUUAUCAUUUAGAGGAAGGAGAAGUCGUAACAAGAUUUCCGUAGGUGAACCCGCGGAAGGAUCAUUGUCGAGGACUAAAUGAGGGUAGACCUGCGAACCAUGUGACCCACACACAUCGGGAGGGGAGAUGCUGCGCCCACCACAGCACCGGGUCAAGGCCGGGCGGGGUGAGGACUAUGGCCCUCCCGCCAUGGCACCGGCACUAGGACGGGCGCGGCGAAUGGCUGAGGCACGUAGGGUGCGAUUGGCUCCAAGGACCCAAAACAGGAGCGAGGGAGGGGGAGUGAUUGGAGGAGGCGAUCACGAGGGCCACUCCCGCUCCCCAAAGCCGCAUGGGGGAUUYAGAAAUAAAAUUUGGACGACUCUCGAUAAUGGAUAGCUCGGCUCUCGCAUCGAUGAAGAAUGUAGCAAAAUGCGAUACUUGUUAUGAAUUGCAGAAUCCCGUACACCAUCGAGUCUUUGAACGUAAGUUGCGCCUAAGGCCACCUGGCCAAGGGCACGMCUACCUGGGCGUCACGCACUGUGUUGCCCGCACCCGAGUUCUCAGGUGGAGGGCGAAAACUAGCCAACUAGGUGCUUCGGUGCGCGGCGGGCCAAAAUCGAUGGAGUUCCUCCCUGGGAGGGGCGUUGGCAUGAUGUUAGGUGGUCAGCGAGGGCUCUUCGAGCCGCACCGUUCAAAUKCCGUGCACGCCGCUCGCGCGGGAGGG